rnacentral:rRNA from 1 species
CCUACGGGUGGCAGCAGUGAGGAAUAUUGGUCAAUGGGCGCGAGCCUGAACCAGCCAAGUAGCGUGAAGGAUGACUGCCCUACGGGUUGUAAACUUCUUUUAUAAAGGAAUAAGGUGAGGCACGUGUGCCUUUUUGUAUGUACUUUAUGAGUAAGGAUCGGCUAACUCCGUGCCAGCAGCCGCGGUAAUACGGAGGGUCCGAGCGUUGUCCGGAUUUAUUGGGUUUAAAGGGAGCGUAGAUGGGUUGUUAAGUCAGUUGUGAAAGUUUGCGGCUCAACCGUAAAAUUGCAAUUGAUACUGGCAGGCUUGAGUACAGUUGAGGUAGGUGGAAUUCGUGGUGUAGCGGUGAAAUGCUUAGAGAUCACGAAGAACUCCGAUUGCGAAGGCAGCUUACUAAACUGCCACUGACAUUGAUGCUCGAAAGUGUGGGUAUCAAACAGGAUUAGAUACCCCAGUAGUC